rnacentral:rRNA from 1 species
AACGGAGGGGGCGAGCGUUAUUCCUCAUUAUUGGGCGUAAAGGGUAUGUAGGUGAUUUUUUGAAGUUGUGUUAAAGUGCAGUUUGAAAAAAUUGUAGCCACACAGAGAAAAAAAUUCGAAAAAUGCUAAGAUUAGUAGAAUUACUAAUGUAGAGGUAAAAUCUGAUAAUGUUAGUAGGAAUGCCAAAGGCGAAAGCAACUUUUCAAGCAUUUUUGACGCUAAUGUACUAAAG